rnacentral:lncRNA from 1 species
AUGUUUCUGUGUGUACAGCAAAGAGUUUAUUUUAUAAACCUUUAUGCUUUUCUGUUCAAUGUGUGUUUACAGUCUGCAGUCCAUGAGGACCUGCUGAUAUCCGGUGUUGCUGACGGGAGAGACUGGACCUCUGAAGCGGCUGGUCACAAACCCUGGCCCCGGAUCAGAACCCUGGAUCAGGAGCCGUCGCUCUUCCUUCCCGAGUCGGAACCAGGACCCAACCACGAGGGACAGCGACUCCAGCACCACGCAGAACACAACCAGUGGACAGGUGGACUGAACAACCUCAGUCCUGGUGGUCAUCAGAGAGACAGAGGCUCCAGCCAGCAGCUCAGACCCUUCUCUUCACAUUCUCAGUGCAGGGAUGGAGCAGGGCCUGGGGCUGAAAGAGAUAGACCCUCCUGUUCCUAUGAUACAAACACCACUGUAUCCAUGAUAAACAGAGCAGGUCACCCUGGGCUUCAGCCUUCACAGAGAGUGGUGGGAGACCCAUCUGGUGGGAGUCUAACAGGAAGUCUGUCUUCUCCUUCAGGGUCUUGUCUAAUGCCUGGUGACUGGGUUCAUAGAAAGCCUGGGCCUGGGUAUAGCCUUCCUCAUCUACCUCAUGGUUACCCCACCAAUACAGGCCGGGUCAGGAUUGGCAUUCACCACGAGAGUUACCUAGCCUAUAACACAGCACACAAUCCCAACAACACCCAAACAAUGGCUAGAGGUCAAGGAGGGAGCUCAAAUUCUAACCACUUGAGGGUGGUGGCUCCUGCUUCUACCUCCUCUGGUGUCAUUGAGUCACAACGUGGGAGGCCGAGCAUUAGGUCGGACGCCGACAAGCCGUACGCCUGCCCCACCUGUGGAAAGCGCUUCGCUGAGGCAAACUAUGUGAAGAGGCACCAGACAGUUCACACCAAUGAGAGGCCCUUCAAGUGCAAACUAUGUUACAAGAGCUUCUCCUUCCUGACUAACCUGAUCAGACAUAGGAGUGUCCACAAAGGGGAGAAAUCGUAG